rnacentral:rRNA from 2 species
CACGGACCAAGGAGUCUAGCAUGUGCGCAAGUCAUUGGGAAUAACUAAACCUAAAGGCGCAAUGAAAGUGAAGGUCCGCCUCGCGCGGACCAAGGGAAGAUGGGCGCGUCCGGUGAUUACCACGGCCGCCCCGCACUCCCGGGGCGUCUCGUUCUCAUCACGAGAAGAGGCGCACCAAGAGCGUACACGCUGGGACCCGAAAGAUGGUGAACUAUGCCUGGUCAGGACGAAGUCAGGGGAAACCCUGAUGGAGGUCCGUAGCGAUUCUGACGUGCAAAUCGAUCGUCGGAACUGGGUAUAGGGGCGAAAGACUAAUCGAACCAUCUAGUAGCUGGUUCCCUCCGAAGUUUCCCUCAGGAUAGCUGGCGCUCGUUGCAUACGAGUCUCAUCCGGUAAAGCGAAUGAUUAGAGGCAUUGGGGUCGAAACGGCCUCAACCUAUUCUCAAACUUUAAAUGGGUGAGAUCUCCGGCUUGCUCAAACAUUUUUAAAAUGAAGCCGGAGAAACGGAUCAGAGUGCCAAGUGGGCCAUUUUUGGUAAGCAGAACUGGCGCUGUGGGAUGAACCAAACGCCGAGUUAAAGCGCCUAAAUCGACGCUUAUGGGAUACCAUGAAAGGCGUUGGUAACUUAAGACAGCAGGACGGUGGCCAUGGAAGUCGGAAUCCGCUAAG